rnacentral:piRNA from 1 species
UUAAAUCAGUUAUGGUUCCUUUG